GGGCCAUAGUUCAGUGGUAGAGCAUCGGCCUUGCAUGCAGACUGUUCCAGGUUCGAAUCCCCAGCAUCUCCAGGUAGGCCCA